rnacentral:rRNA from 1 species
UGCCAGCCGCCGCGGUAACACGGAGAGUGCAAGCGUUGUUCGGAAUUAUUGGGCUUAAAGGGCGUGUAGGCGGAGUGUCAGGUGUUGUGUGAAAGCCCCGGGCUCAACCCGGGAAUGGCAUGGCAAACCGGCACUCUUGAGGCAGGUAGAGGUUGUCGGAACGAUCGGUGGAGCGGUGAAAUGCGUUGAUAUCGAUCGGAACGCCAAAGGAGAAGUCAGGCAACUGGGCCUGUCCUGACGCUGAGGUACGAAAGCGUGGAUAGCGAACUGGAUUAGAUA